CCUACGGGAGGCAGCAGUGAGGAAUAUUGGUCAAUGGCCGAGAGGCUGAACCAGCCAAGUCGCGUGAGGUCCUCCUUCCCUACGGGUUGUCCCCCUCUUUUGUCUUGGAGCAAAGCGAGUCACGUGUGACUCAUUGAGAGUACCCGAAGAAAAAGCAUCGGCUAACUCCGUGCCAGCAGCCGCGGUAAUACGGGGGAUGCGAGCGUUAUCCGGAUUUAUUGGGGUUAAAGGGUGCGCAGGCGGAGGUGCAAGUCAGCGGUCAAAUUGCGGGGCUCAACCCCGUACUGCCGUUGAAACUGCAUCCCUUGAGUGCGCGAGAAGUAUGCGGAAUGCGUGGUGUAGCGGUGAAAUGCAUAGAUAUCACGCAGAACUCCGAUUGCGAAGGCAGCAUACCGGCGCGCAACUGACGCUCAUGCACGAAAGCGUGGGUAUCGAACAGGAUUAGAUACCCGAGUAGUC
rnacentral:rRNA from 1 species